rnacentral:rRNA from 1 species
AGUGAACGCUGGCGGUAGGCCUAACACAUGCAAGUCGAACGGCAGCACAGUAAGAGCUUGCUCUUACGGGUGGCGAGUGGCGGACGGGUGAGGAAUACAUCGGAAUCUACUUUUUCGUGGGGGAUAACGUAGGGAAACUUACGCUAGUACCGCAUACGACCUACGGGUGAAAGCAGGGGAUCUUCGGACCUUGCGCGAAUGAAUGAGCCGAUGUCGGAUUAGCUAGUUGGCGGGGUAAAGGCCCACCAAGGCGACGAUCCGUAGCUGGUCUGAGAGGAUGAUCAGCCACACUGGAACUGAGACACGGUCCAGACUCCUACGGGAGGCAGCAGUGGGGAAUAUUGGACAAUGGGCGCAAGCCUGAUCCAGCCAUACCGCGUGGGUGAAGAAGGCCUUCGGGUUGUAAAGCCCUUUUGUUGGGAAAGAAAAGCAGCAGGUUAAUACCCCGCUGUUCUGACGGUACCCAAAGAAUAAGCACCGGCUAACUUCGUG